CCCACACGGAACAAAGGACCCAUACGACAACACACAACACAGAAGGGAUGACCCCAUGACGCGGGUUACACCUAGACAGAGGAGCAACCACAUGACAAACCAAAGAUGGUAGAAACAAAUGGACAAUGGGACACCACACCACCCCCCUCCGAGACGGGAUCGACACUCACAACACAUUAUUUAAAUCUAUUAUAGUAAGGAGAUGGGUACCCUAACUAAAC